UAACGGCCGCGGUAUUUUGACCGUGCGAAGGUAGCGCAAUCACUUGUCUUUUAAAUGGAGACCUGUAUGAAUGGCAUAACGAGGGCUAAGCUGUCUCCUUUUCCUGGUCAAUGAAAUUGAUCUACCCGUGCAGAAGCGGGUAUACUUACGUAAGACGAGAAGACCCUAUGGAGCUUAAGACACCCGGAUAUACCAUGUUAAACAACCCUAUAAAGGACCUCUUAAACCAAAUGAAUACUGUCCCCCUGUCUUUGGUUGGGGCGACCGCGGGGAAACAGAAAACCCCCAGGUGGAAUAGGGACAAUGUCCCUUAAAGCAAGAGCCACAGCUCUAACCAACAGAACCUCUGACCAACAAGAUCCGGCACCGCCGAUCAACGGACCGAGUUACCCUAGGGAUAACAGCGCAAUCCCCUUUUAGAGCCCAUAUCGACAAGGGGGUUUACGACCUCGAUGUUGGAUCAGGACAUCCUAAUGGUGCAGCCGCUAUUAAGGGUUCGUUUGUUCAACGAUUAAAGUCCUACGUGAUCUGAGUUCAGACCGGAGAAAUCCAGGUCAGUUUCUAUCUACGAAGCAUU
rnacentral:rRNA from 1 species